rnacentral:lncRNA from 13 species
AAACCCAUGUACACGUGUAGCCCCCGCCGACAACCGGCGCUUUCCUAUGACGUCACGACUCGCUACGUCCGUAACGCGCAGGAGGGGCUGUUGCUGUAGCGGCCAUGUUGGUGAGGGGUGGAGUGGGGGACUGGGGGGGGGGGGGGUGAGGUUUAGCAUGCGCAUGCGCAAUGCGCACGAGCGCCUUUAACACGUGAUUGAUGAGCCGGUUUUUUUCUUGAAUUCGCGUUUGCUUUUCUUGCAAACAGUUUCCUGGGAAAGAAGAACGAGCAAAUAGAAAAGGCAAAGUGGGAAGACCCAUUUCCGGUGAGGAGAUGGCAUCUCAGAGGGGCUAUGUGACUUGCUGAAUGUUGCCCAAAUGUUAAGUCACAGGACUUGAACUCAGGACUCCUCAACUCAGAAUCUGCCCCCAUUCCCUGGCUGUGAGUCUUCUCUGCUUCAUGGAGCUGCACUGAGAUGGGAGAGCGACAGGCCCUGUGCAUAUGUUGCCAGUGGGUGGAAAGCUGCGGACUUCAUCCCUGUGUGUGGAAGAAGAGCUUAGACAGAUGGACAGAUGGGUAGGCACUCAUACUUACACCCCGCACCUGGACUCUCAGUUCCUAAGACCUGGAUAGGCACAGAGUUUCAUGCUUUGGCCCUCACACAGUGUGAGGUCUGCUUAAGUGAUGGUCAUCCCUUCCAAUCCAUAUGGCAGCUUCAUCUCAAUGGCAACCCGUGGAGACCUUGGGGAC